rnacentral:misc_RNA from 1 species
ACGUUUGAAAUACAAAGUGCUUGAAGAUUGUUUACAUCGUGCAGAGAGUAAAUGGGUUCAUUCGUUAAUGGCAAUACAAAUUAUACUUAAUUAGCAACGAGACACGACAGAUGCUCUAGUCAAGUUUUUUUUCAGUCUCUGGAUAGCUAAGUUUUAUACAUCGAAACACAAGGUUUAAAAAGUAACUCAAAAUGAGUCGGUUAUAUGACACCGUGGAGCCUGCUGUCAUUGACGAGGAAAUGCUCAAAAAGGCUGUAGAGGAACAGGGACCCAAAGAGGAAGCUGGGAAAAUAGCAAAGCAAGAGGGCAUUGACUUUGGAGAUGUUUUAUCUCUACGACUUGACUUUCUUAAUAUUUUGAAAAUUGAUAACCUAUGGGAAUUCACCAAACUAACAAAAUUACAAUUGGACAACAAUAUUAUUGAAAAGAUUGAAGGCUUGGAAAGUUUGGUAAACUUGGUUUGGCUAGAUUUGUCCUUCAACAACAUAGAAGUCAUUGAUAACCUUGAUUCAUUGACCAAACUGGAGGACUUAACACUGUACAGUAACAGAAUUUCUACCAUAGAAAACAUGGACUCCCUCCUCAACCUUCACGUCCUCUCACUGGGCAGAAACCAACUCACAGACUUAGAAAAUUUGCGAUAUUUAAGGAGAUUCAAAAACCUGAAGACCCUCAAUUUAUCAGACAAUCCCUUCUGCAAACAAGAUGAAUACAAACAAUAUGUGAUUGCAUUUUUGUCUAACCUAGAGUUUUUGGAUUACAGACUUGUAGAUCAGCAAUCUAGAGAUGCUGCCAUAGAAAAAUACCAGGUAUCUAGGGAUGAGAUGCUUCAUAAUGAAAAGCAGGCAGAAAUCAAGAAAGAGGAUGAGACAAAACGACAACAAGAACUGGAGAAACACAAGAAUGCCUAUGUAGAACUGAUGAAUGGACCAGAUCUCUUUGAACAAAUGUAUGCUGAGGAUAAGGAGGGUCAAAAACUGAAUGAGAUGCCCGGUCUAGAAGAUCAACUCCACAGAUAUCCUUUUUGACAUUUAUCUUUCAAAUGAAAGUUAAAUGAUGAAGUGUAAAGUAAUAAAACCUAGAUCAAAUUUCUUUUGAUAAUGCUAUAGAAUAAAGAUCAUGUUUUCCUUAACACUUUUUACCUUCAAAGAGAAGUUCAUGCAGAUCUGUACCCAGAUCUUUGACUUUGGUAUCGCUGAGCACGAGAAGCGUGAGGAGGAGGUCAAGAGUUUCUGGGAGUGUGUGGAGGAAGCUAAACAGGACAACAAGAGACUGGGCAUGGUUCACAUUGAUGAGUUCACAGAGACAAAGAAAAGGAUGUUACUAGAGAUGUCCCAGAUGAGUGAUCACAAGAUGGUCGAGCAGUAUGCCCGGGAUUACAAUGACAAGAUUCAGGUGCUGUGGGACAAGCUGAUGGGACUGGAACUACAGCUUGUGGACCAACUGGAGGAAGUAAUCAAGGAGUUUGAGAGGAAUAUGCAGGACAUGGUUGGCACAUUCGUAGAAAAUGUCCAAGCACUUCUCUCCCAAUGUCGAGACUUGGAAAAUAAUCAUCACGAAAAAAUGAUGGAAAUUGCAAUUGUCACUCUGGAAAAGGUCAUAAAAAAUGAGCUGGAUGAUGAAAUAUCUGAUGACCUAAAAAUGUUACUUGUGGACAAAGAUACAAUCAUCAAUGCAGUGUCUUCAUCACACGAUGUGCAUCUCCUAAAGAUUGACAACAAAGAGGAUGAUAUUGUCACCCGCAUUAAUCAGUCCCUCAAGAAUUUAAUAGAACAGAUUCACCAGGACGAGGAAAUCACACGCAACAGGAUGCGAGUGUCUGAAAUCAACAAUCUAAUUGACCAUUUACGAGAGGAGAUGGAUAAUUUGGAGGUCAUGCAAAACUAGUGCACGUGUGCCGAAAAGCACGACUCUGUGGACAGAUUAUUGUGAUCCCAGUAAAACAAUGUUGAACGUGUCUGUUAAGACUGAAUGGACCUCUGUAAUUACAGUGUAUGUCUGACCAGAUGGAUGUUAUAACUAUAAGUGACUAUGUGGAAGGAAAAUUUCAGAGACUGAAAUUAUUAUUACUUGAACAUGCUUCAUUGCACUGAGAUGAAACUGUGAUAAUAUAAGCAAAAUAAAGCAGAAAACUUC